rnacentral:rRNA from 1 species
CAGUAGCCGCGGGAAUACGUAGGGUGCGAGCGUUAAUCGGAAUUACUGGGCGUAAAGCGUGCGCAGGCGGUUGUGUAAGACAGGUGUGAAAUCCCCGGGCUUAACCUAGGAACUGCAUUUGUGACUGGCGGGCUAGAGUAUGGCAGAGGGGGGUAGAAUUCCACGUGUAGCAGUGAAAUGCGUAGAGAUGUGGAGGAAUACCGAUGGCGAAGGCAGCCCCCUGGGCCAAUACUGACGCUCAUGCACGAAAGCGUGGGGAGCAAACAGGAUUAGAUACCCGCGUAGUCCCUGUCUCUUAUAC